UACGUAGGGGCAAGCGUUGUCCGGAUUUACUGGGCGUAAAGAGCGUGUAGGCGGCCAAGCAGGUCCGUUGUGAAAACUGGAGGCUUAACCUCCCGAGACGUCGACGGAAACCGCGUGGCUAGAGUCCGGAAGAGGAGAGUGGAAUUCCUGGUGUAGCGGUGAAAUGCGCAGAUAUCAGGAAGAACACCAGUGGCGAAGGCGGCUCUGGCGGACGUACUGACGGAGCGAAGAACGUGGGGAGCGAACAGG
rnacentral:rRNA from 1 species